ACGGUACACGGAAGAGACGUUUAAAAUAUCAAUUAACAGUUUAAAAUAAAGUGUCAAUAUAUGAGCUUAUCAAUGACAUUAGCGGUUUGUGAUUAAAAGGAAUGGGAUUGAAUGUGUCAAUAUUCCUUUCACUUUAUUAUUUUGGAUUGAUGCGAAUAAAAGAAAGACCACCGAUGUGUUAACAACACACACUUUUGGAUAGGUCCGGAUAAGCCUGAAACAAAAGGAUGAGCAUUUAGAUGGGUGGGGGAAUAAUGCAUCUAACAUAAAUGAGUAUGCAAGAGAUCAUCAGACCUCAACAACUAAACAACAAUGAUUUAAAUGAAAUUUUCUUGUGAAAACAUUCGAAAAUAUAUAACGUCUUUUCAAUGUGUUUUUAGUUGCAUAAAAUGAUGCAUAAAUGUGAUGAUUUGAAUAAAUAAAAAUCUUUUUUGUUGAAUAAAAUGCAUGUUAAUUGGUUUAUGUUA